rnacentral:rRNA from 1 species
UGGGGAACCUGCCCCAUAGUCUGGGAUACCACUUGGAAACAGGUGCUAAUACCGGAUAAGAAAGCGGAUGCAUGAUCAGCUUUUAAAAGGCGGCGUAAGCUGUCGCUAUGGGAUGGCCCCGCGGUGCAUUAGCUAGUUGGUAAGGUAAAGGCUUACCAAGGCGAUGAUGCAUAGCCGAGUUGAGAGACUGAUCGGCCACAUUGGGACUGAGACACGGCCCAAACUCCUACGGGAGGCAGCAGCC